AGCGAACGCUGGCGGCGUGCCUAACACAUGCAAGUCGAACGUGAAAAGGGAAACCUGAGUAAAGUGGCGUACGGGUGAGUAACGCGUAGGUAAUCUACCCCAGAAUCUGGAAUAACCUGCCGAAAGGCGGGCUAAUACUGGAUAGAGCGAGGGAACUCGUAAGAGAGUUUUUCGGGAAAGGGAGCCCGCAAGGGCCUUCGUUCUGGGAUGAGCCUGCGUCUCAUUAGCUAGUUGGUAAGGUAACGGCUUACCAAGGCGAUGAUGAGUAGCUGGUCUGAGAGGAUGAUCAGCCACACUGGGACUGAAACACGGUCCAGACUCCUACGGGAGGCAGCAGUGGGGAAUCUUGCGCAAUGGACGAAAGUCUGACGCAGCCACGCCGCGUGAGUGAAGAAGGCCUUCGGGUUGUAAAGCUCUGUCGGAUGGGACGAACAUCUUCAUAGUGAAUAGCUAUGAGGACUGACGGUACCAUCAAAGGAAGCACCGGCUAACUCCGUG
rnacentral:rRNA from 1 species